rnacentral:rRNA from 1 species
AGUGAACGCUGGCGGUAGGCCUAACAUAUGCAAGUCGAACGGCAGCACAGUAAGAGCUUGCUCUUACGGGUGGCGAGUGGCGGACGGGUGAGGAAUACAUCGGAAUCUACUUUUUCGUGGGGGAUAACGUAGGGAAACUUACGCUAAUACCGCAUACGACCUACGGGUGAAAGCAGGGGGUCUUCGGACCUUGCGCGAUUGAAUGAGCCGAUGUCGGAUUAGCUAGUUGGCGGGUAAAGGCCCACCAAGGCGACGAUCCGUAGCUGGUCUGAGAGGAUGAUCAGCCACACUGGAACUGAGACACGGUCCAGACUCCUACGGGAGGCAGCAGUGGGGAAUAUUGGACAAUGGGCGCAAGCCUGAUCCAGCCAUACCGCGUGGGUGAAGAAGGCCUUCGGGUUGUAAAGCCCUUUUGUUGGGAAAGAAAAGCAGCAGGUUAAUACCCCGCUGUUCUGACGGUACCCAAAGAAUAAGCACCGGCUAACUUCGUG